CAGUACCGUGAGGGAAAGGUGAUAAGCACCCCGGGAGGGGAGUGAAAUAGAACCUGAAACCGUGUGCCUACAACAAGUUCGAGCCCGUUAAUGGGUGAGAGCGUGCCUUUUGUAGAAUGAACCGGCGAGUUAUGGUAUGUAGCGAGGUUAAGGCGAGAAGCUGGAGCCGAAGCGAAAGCGAGUCUGAAAAGGGCGACGAGUUACAUGCUGUAGACCCGAAACCGUGUGAUCUACCCAUGGCCAGGGUGAAGGUGGGGUAAAACCUACUGGAGGCCCGAACUCACUGUCGUUGAAAAGGCAGGGGAUGAGCUGUGGGUAGGGGUGAAAUGCCAAUCGAACACGGAGAUAGCUGGUUCUCCCCGAAAUAGCUUUAGGGCUAGCCUCGAUUGAUGACUAAUGGCGGUAGAGCACUGAAUAGGCUAGGGGCCUUACCAGGUUACCGAACCUUAUCAAACUCCGAAUGCCAUUAGAUUUAGAUCGGGAGUCAGACUGUGGGGGAUAAGCUUCAUAGUCGAAAGGGAAACAGCCCAGACCAUCAGCUAAGGUCCCUAAGUAUACACUAAGUGGGAAAGGAUGUGGAAUUGCACAGACAACCAGGAUGUUGGCUCAGAAGCAGCCACCAUUUAAAGAGUGCGUAAUAGCUCACUGGUCGAGUGGUUCUGCGCCGAAAAUGUAACGGGGCUCAAGUGUAUCACCGAAGCUAUGGCUUUACAGCUUGCUGUAAGGGGUAGGGGAGCGUUCUAAAUGCAGAGAAGGUAGACCGCAAGGACUAGUGGAGCGUUUAGAAGUGAGAAUGCCGGUAUGAGUAUGCGAAAAGACAAGUGAGAAUCUUGUCCGCCGAAAAUCUAAGGUUUCCUGGGGAAGGCUCGUCCGCCCAGGGUAAGUCGGGACCUAAGCCGAGGCCGAAAGGCGUAGUGUGAUGGACAACUGGUUGACAUUCCAGUACCACCUAGAAAUGUUUGAGCAAUGGGGCGACACAGAAGGAUAGGUUAAGCCAACCGUUGGUUGAGUUGGCCCAAGCGAGUAGGAUGUAGGGUAGGCAAAUCCGCCCUGCGUGUAUCUGAGACGUGAUGGGGAGCGAAAAUUAGUAGCGAAGUAACCGACUCCAUGCUGUCAAGAAAAACCUCUAGUGAGUGACUAGGUGCCCGUACCGUAAACCGACACAGGUAGAUGGGGUGAGAAUCCUAAGGCGCGCGAGAAAACCCUCGUUAAGGAACUCGGCAAAAUAGCCCCGUAACUUCGGGAGAAGGGGCGCUCUUUGAAAGAAGAGCCGCAGAGAAAUGGUCCAGGCGACUGUUUAACAAAAACACAGGUCCCUGCUAAUCCGUAAGGAGAUGUAUAGGGGCUGACACCUGCCCGGUGCUGGAAGGUUAAGAGGAGAGGUUAGCCGCAAGGCGAAGCUUUGAAUUGAAGCCCCAGUAAACGGCGGCCGUAACUAUAACGGUCCUAAGGUAGCGAAAUUCCUUGUCAGGUAAGUUCUGACCCGCACGAAAGGUGUAACGAUCUGGACACUGUCUCAACGAGGGACUCGGCGAAAUUGUAAUACCCGUGAAGAUGCGGGUUACCUGCGACAGGACAGAAAGACCCCAUGGAGCUUUACUGUAGCUUGACAUUGGAUUUUGGUAUAAAAUGUACAGGAUAGGUGGGAGACUAAGAAGCUAGGGCGCCAGCCUUGGUGGAGUCAACGGUGGGAUACCACUCUUUUUGUACUGAAGUUCUAACCUAGGCCCCUGAAUCGGGGUUGGGGACAGUAUCAGGUGGACAGUUUGACUGGGGCGGUCGCCUCCUAAAGAGUAACGGAGGCGCCCAAAGGUUCCCUCAGCGCGGUUGGAAAUCGCGCGAAGAGUGUAAAGGCAUAAGGGAGCUUGACUGCGAGACCAACAAGUCGAGCAGGUACGAAAGUAGGGCUUAGUGAUCCGGUGGUACCGAGUGGAAGGGCCAUCGCUCAACGGAUAAAAGCUACCCUGGGGAUAACAGGCUUAUCUCCCCCAAGAGUUCACAUCGACGGGGAGGUUUGGCACCUCGAUGUCGGCUCGUCGCAUCCUGGGGCUGUAGUCGGUCCCAAGGGUUGGGCUGUUCGCCCAUUAAAGCGGCACGCGAGCUGGGUUCAGAACGUCGUGAGACAGUUCGGUCCCUAUCCGUCGCGGGCGUAGGAAAUUUGAGAGGAUCUGCUCCUAGUACGAGAGGACCAGAGUGGACUUACCGCUGGUGUACCAGUUGUCUUGCCAAAGGCAUCGCUGGGUAGCUAAGAUCGGAAGAGCACACGUCUGAACUCCAGUCACCUAUGG
rnacentral:rRNA from 1 species